AUGAAAUGAGUGCUACAUUGUGUAGAAUGCAGGUUGAUACGUACUUAAUGUUGCUCAGCAUUAGUCGAGGUCAUUCUCCAUCUUAAAGAUUGCAGGAUCCGUCUUGAAACGGUCCUUUCUAAGUUAAAUGUUAGUUGCUAUUUUGCAAUGCAUUUAUGGAUUAUCAAGGUAGAACAAUGGGGAUGAUCCAAUUCUAACGGUUGGUUUCAAGAUUGUGGCAUUGAGAGCCAUAAUUAGAUCUAACAUCGAGGUAUGAGGACGUGGGACCUUCUG